UACGGAGGGGCUAGCGUUGUCCGAAGUUACUGGGCGUAAAGCGCGCGUAGGCGGGUUGGUAAGUCCGCUGUGAAAGCCCGGGAGCUUAACUCCGGAGGUCGGUGGAUACGUGCCAGUCUUGAAGGUGGCUAGGGGGAGAUGGAAUUGACCGGUGUAGCGGAUGAAAUGCGUAGAUAUCGGUAGGAACACCAGUGGCGAAGGCGGUCUCCUGGGGCAUUCUUGACGCUGAGGCGCGAAAGCUGGGGGAGCAAACGGG
rnacentral:rRNA from 1 species